rnacentral:lncRNA from 1 species
UCAAGAUGAAGGGAUGAUGCUUCUUCUCCCUGGUUGCUCAAUCUGACUUGCAGGCCCUCUACUGGCUCCUCAGAAAAGGGUCUCCAGCGCCAAAAGAAUCUCCUGGGGUGCUCAAGCCCCCAGCCCUAUGCAGGAUGGAGAAUAUCUUGAGUGAACCUGUCUUGCAGAUGAUCGUUGACUAUGCAGGUAAAAUAGAUUGCGAUCAUUGUCAUCCUGCUCAGAAAACCCACCUGGAUAGGACCAGUCCUGGGACUGGGAGCCCGGAGACGCCACUGAGAGCCGGUCCUGCAGGGACUCCAGGGAGAUGAACCAGGAGAUGGCUCAGCAAGGACCAGGCAGUGGCAGAGGUGCCCGAGUAGAGUGAUCGUGGGGCAGAGGACUGAGGGAAAGUGCGUGCCUGUGCCUGGCAGUGCCGCCCCAGGUGGAGGAGGAGCCCUCAGGGUGGUGGGCUUCCGAUGAAGGGUGACUCUGCUGGGGUCUGAGGCUGUGCUCCCAGUGGACUCAGGGACCCCACUGCACAAGCCCGAUUUUGGGUAACAGGGCACACCUAGGGAACAGGCCCAGAGCACCCUCUCCUUGGAAUAAACUCCGGAUCCAAGUCCCAGAACCCACCUUAGGAGGCGUCUGCCGCCCCCGCCCCCUCCCCAGCCUUCCAGGCCCUGGCUGCGGUGGAUGGGGGCGCGGAAGGCCCAAGUGCGCGAACUUCACCUGGCCCGGCCGUCCUCCCCGUGGGGGGCCCAGGCUGCGGGCGCGUCAGGCCGUCUCUGUCGCCAUCCGGAGGAGCGGCUUGGGCGCCGCGUCCCCUCUGCCAGGCCCGGGUCGGCGGGCGGCUGGAGCCCCCAGCGGUGGCGGG